GCCAUUUCCUGAGUAACUGACACUCGCUCACCAGUGCCAUCUUGGCAUGGCCUUCUCAUUCCACCACACAUAUGAACAUACAGAAAGAAAAUGGAGACAAGAGACCUACUGCCCUGAGAGCAGUCAAAUAAAGAAAACAACGAAAAGACCAUUUCUCAGGUGCUAUGAUCAAAUAAGACAAAGUAAAAUCAGAAUGAAACUUCUAUGCAUAUGAGAAGCAACUGCUCCCACUAGGGAAUAAAAGCCUCAGUGAACCCGUUAGCAUCUAGGAAGAGCUUUGUCAUAUGGUUACCAAAUGUUUUCUAGAAGACUCAUUAUCUUCAUCACUGAAUAUUUAUUGAGAGCCCACUGGGCACAGAGAACCGUAUCAAGCAUGUGAUCAAGAGAGAGCCUAUUUCCAGCCAAGUCCUUUUGUUUCCAUCCUGUUCUGGGAGUAAUAACAUACCUAAGGAAAGUGGAAUUCUACACAUAAUCAAACUUAUUAUCUGAUGUGAUCAUUAUUUUGAUUGCUACUUAUGAUUUAUAAUAGAGGUCAUUAUUUUAUUACAUACUUUCUGUAUAUAAUUAAGUUACUUUAAAUGAAGACUUUCAUUCAGCUCAAGUUAGUAAGAAUAAUGUAUUUCUGAUUUUCUCAUCAUAAACUGAAAAGAAAUCGAGCCACAAAAAAGAUAUUAUACUACUGAAACGUCUUUUUUUAAAAAAAUUUAGCAUGCAUUGUAUAUAUAAAUGGGAAGAUUGAUGGUAUUUAGUAUGAGAUAAAUUUCAUUGUUUCAAAAAAUUAUCAGAAAUAUGUCAAGGAAACUAAGUUCUUAGCAUCCUAUUGUGGAGCUUGAAUUCUCUGAUCAUAUUACAAGUUUUAAGUUUCAACAGGUAAAAAAGAUCACUUGAUUAUGGCUACAUGUAUAUUUUGUGAGACAAAAGGGCCAAAUUGAUAAAGAAAAAAAGAAAAAUCAGUGCCUUUCAAAGCAGAAUUUCGUGUUUUUCGUUGUUAGCGAGUUGGUUUAUGUGUCAGGCAAACUUUGAUCUUAAAAUAUCUUUCAGAGGCAUGAUUUCCUCCAGAGACAAUUUUCUGCCUUGAUAUCCUCAUAAGCGAAACAAGAAUAAAUAUUUUGUUCCAUAAAAUAUUCCUCCCGUGACUAUUCAUAUCUCUCAAACUUGUCUUUGUAGAAAAGAAGUUGUGGCUGAUUUUUUGGAGAUGUUUUUAGCUUUUUUAAAAAGCUUCUCUCUUCCUUAAACAUGAUUCAUUUUCUAAUAACCUAAAACUUGGGAGAGGGGGAAUAUUCCCAUAGCACAUCGUCUUAAUUUAAUAUCCAAUGUCGAUAGAAAUUUCUUCUUGAGUUCAAUCCCUGUGUUUCUCUGCUGUCUUCUGUAGUCUUGCCCUCCCUCUCUCCAUGUGCCCUCCCUCCCCUUCUUCCUUUUUAAUUUGGUACCUGGGUCAUGUGCGUACAUUGGGAAAAUGUCAGCAGUCGCACACUGUUCCUUCUGACUGUGACCUGACAAGUGGAGGUGCCUCAGCCUUCUCUCCCAGCCACUUAGCAUCCAAGCCAUUUUGGUACAUUCUGUGCACCCUCCAGACAACUCAUCUUCCUUAUUGUGCCAGAAUCUUCUUGGAAACCAAGCCGGAUGAAUUAGUCAAAAGCACAUUCUCUCAGAUCAGCAAAGAAUAGUAACCUGGACUAUGUUUGAGAUACAUUUAAACUGAAUUUAAGAUGAGAAGGUCUGAAUGUGUUUCCCUUUUUGGUAGAGGGGAGUCAACUUACUUUUCUAAUGGCUCUUAUUUUUGUUAUCAGAAUCUCUGAAUUAGCAGAGUCCUAAUGAAUUUGGCCAUCAAUAUAAAUUUGGUUAUUUUUCCAUCCUUAGAUCUUUCUUAACUCUUGCAUGGUGGUUAAAAGACAUCUUGACUAACAGGCAGAUAACUGGGUUUGGUAAGAUCACUUUAACUUAUCCACCCCAACAAGUCCAGGUCAUCUUCUGGUUGGGGAGAAUUCCACUGCAAGAGUCCAUCUACAACCACUCACUCUGAUUUCAUCAAAGAAUUUGUCUCCUACAGUUUGCCCCAAAGAGAGGCAACCAACACUACCACUACUAAAAAGCAUUUAUUUAUAAGAACAGGUUCAGGGCGGGCACCACGGCUCAAUAGGCUAAUCCUCCACCUUGCAGCGCUGGCACACCAGGUUCCAGUCCCGGUCGGGGCGCCGGAUUCUGUCCCGGUUGCCCCUCUUCCAGGCCAGCUCUCUGCUGUGGCCAGGGAGUGCAGUGGAGGAUGGCCCAAGUGCUUGGGCCCUGCACCCCAUGGGAGACCAGGAGAAGCACCUUGCUCCUGCCUUUGGAUCAGCGUGGUGCGCCAGCGGCAGCACACCAGCUGUGGCGGCCAUUGGAGGGUGAACCAAUGGCAAAGGAAGACCUUUCUCUCUGUCUUUCUCUCUCACUGUCCACUCUGCCUCUCAAAAAAAAAAAAAAAAAAAGUUCAUUACAUAAAGGAAAAUUCACACUAUUUCUUUACAGGUUCUACAUGCUAACCGUAAUGGGAAUUUUCACCUAUUUUAUGGUCAUAUUUAGAUGUAGUGUGAUUUGUCUCCCAGGAAGUCCCUGACUUGUGAUUUUAGGACUCAGUGGUAACCUGAGGAAGUGCAUAAACAAUGGUCACCAAACUUUGCUCUCUCUUCACCUUCCUUGCAUCCUCCACCAUUCACUCUGUGAAUGGAUCAGUGAAAUGGGCUGUUAGGCAAGUUGGAGGGUCAGAUCCAAACUAUUACUUUUUCUUAUGCAUAUCUAUACAGAGAAGGUAUUACUGUCCUGAAUUUAUCUUACCCCAACAUCCAAGCCCUAAUUCUACCUACAAAAGAUCUCAGAGAAUUUCUACUCAUGCAACUGGAAAAGAGAUAUUGACUGUUUCUCUUUUUUCGAGUUAAAAUCUGCUCAUUAGAGAAAUGAACACACUAUUUUAACUCUGGUGCUGACGUCCAGAUGAAGCAGUCUAUAAGCUGUAUCUGACAGGUUGGUAGUUUUUACAUAUGCUUAGGCUUUAUUUUUAAGCCAAAUAUUUAGAAUUUCCUGAAGAAGAUAUACAGUAAGUUCUAGUUGAUUUCCCACAGACAGACACACAGACACACACACAAAGACCUAUUCUAUUCCUGUUGUCCUGUGAUAUGUUAAUACCAGCACUCCAUCAGUGUCUAUGCACACAGAUUCCAUGGGAAAACAUGUUCCUAUAGACCUGGAAUACAUUUCUCUUCCUUUUGUUAUUAGAACACGGUAAGAACAGUUCAGCACUUUUAAAGUACUGUGGCUUGUUGGGAAUGAACAGUGACCCAGGCUGGGCUUUGUUCUCCCAGAAUAUUGGGUUGUGAGUCAAGAGCCUUAGAUUGAAAUUUGGGAAUGACUUCACUUUAGUGCCAAUAACCAAGAGGCAACGUUCAAGAACUUCUGGUUCAGGUUCCACAGAUCCUGUUCUUAAAGCUCUCAAGAUUUAUUGUUAAUCUCUUGCUUGAAUUCAAUAAGAUACUCUAGAUCUUUCUAUUAGAUCUUCCUGCCAUCUGUUUUCUUAGAUAACUAGCCGCAGUUGGUUUCUG